AGACCCCAGCUUAACAGCAGUAACGCCAUUUUGCAAGGCUGUACUUAAGAUGACUGGUUCAGGGAAAGGUUAGAACACUGAGUACACAGCAGCUGCCAAGCAGGAUGUGUUUGGUUGAAGGCCUGGCAACAGGACGACUUCGGUUGAACACCUGACAAUGAAAAAAAGCCCCGGGAGAGGUCCCACACCCUGGUGGGGGGCCGAGUCAGUCGUUAUGUUCCAAGAAGGUAGCUAAGAAACUUGCCCCCGGGCUGAACCCUUGGGGGGGCCGAGUCAGCCGUUAUGUUUCAGGAAGGUAGCUAGGAAACUUGCCCCCGGGCUAAACCCUUGCCAUAUUAGAAUCCACCAAUUAUAUCCCUGUAACCAUGCAUCUGCUUCUGUAUGCUUGCUUCUGCUCCCCAAAAUCCUAUAAAAGCCCAUCCUUGGUUCCGUGGGGCGCGCCAGUCCCCCGAGUGACUGAAGCGCCCGCAGGUGCCUGUGCCUGUGUAUCCCGACAAUAAACCAAAUCCUCUUGCUGAUUGCAUCCUGUGGUGUCUCGGUCUGGUCUUUGGAGUUGGAGGGUCUCCAUCCCGAGGGAAAGUUCUCCCUGAGAGCUUUUCAUUUGGUGCAUUGGCCGGGAAAGGAGAUCCUCCACCCAGGGACCACCGACCACCCACUGGGAGGUAAGCCGGCCGGCGUCUGUCUGUCUGUCUGAUUUUGUCUCGUUCUGCCUUAUUCUGUCUGUUCUGUGAGCGCUCAACCGGGUCUGUUCUGUGAGCGCUCAGCCAGGUCUGUUCUGUGAGCGCUCAGCCAGGUCUGUUCUGUGAGCGCUCAGCCAGGUUGUUUGGAAUUUGGGCGGGACGAAGAAGGAGCUGACGAGCUCGGACUUCUCGCCCCGCAGCCCUGGAAGACGUUCCAAGGGUGUUAGGGGCCCGACUUUUCGGGGCCCAAUCUGGGAGAGGAGAAAGAUCCGGACUAACGGCACCUCUGUCUGUAUUUUUGGCUUUCAGAGGGCCCCGGACCUUUGCCACCUCCAUCUGACUUUUUGCUUUCAGUUUGGUACCAAAGCCGUGCAGCACGCCUGUCUGUUGUUUGUUUGACUGUUGGUGUUGUUUGUUUUCUCUGUGUUCUAAUCUUCCUUAGAACUAACAUGGGACAGUCCCUAACAACGCCCCUAAGUCUCACUCUUGAUCAUUAGAAAGACGUCCACGACCGGGCACACAACCAGUCCGUCGAGGUUAAAAAAAAAAAAGAAAAUGGCAGACUCUCUGCACAUCCGAGUGGCCCACUUUCGGAGCGGGAUGGCCAGUGAAUGGCACAUUUAAUAAGAUCAUUAUUUUACAGGUUAAAGAUCGGGCCGUCCACGGACAUCCUGACCAGGUUUCUUAUAUUAUCACUUGAGAGAGUCUCGCCUUAAACCCCCCCCCCCGGGCGGAACCCUUCGUGGACCCGAAUUGGCCUCCCCUCAACCCCCAGCCUGCCCCCUCGGCCCCGCCCGGUCUGCCGGCCACGUCUUCCUCUCUCUACCUUUGUGAAAUCAGAGCCUUCUAAGAAACCUGUCCUCCCGGCAGACCCAAACUCCCCUCUCAUAGAUCUUCUCUCUGACAGGCCCAGCUAAAACGGAGGAGGCAGAGCCGCCGGCCAGAUCAGUUGCCGGGCCACAGUCUGAUAAGGGUUUCUCCCCUGUCGCAGGGAGAUUGCGCAAUAAGCGCGAGGUGAUGCCAGAUUCAACCUCCCAGGCUUUCCCACUUAGACAGGGAACCGGUGGCCAGACCCAAUACUGGCCGUUUUCAGCAGCUGACAUUUACAAUUGGAAACAACACAACCCUUCUUUCUCCAAAGAUCCGGUGGCACUCACCGACCUAAUAGAAUCUGUUUUACUUACCCACCAGCCUACUUGGGAUGACUGCCAACAGCUCUUACAGUCCCUCUUAACCUCAAAAAAAAAAAAAAAAAAAAAAAAACAAAGAGUGUUCCUAGAGGCCAGAAAGCAUGUUCUGGGAGAUGAUGGGCGUCCCACCCAGCUGCCUGAGGACCAAACUGGGAUUUUAAUACAGCUGAAGCCCUUCUCUGAGGGCCCAUUUACAGGCCCUACAGAUUGUGCAGAGAGACGUCUGGAGACCUUUGGCCACUGCUUACCAGGACAAGCUUGAGCAUCCGGUGGUGCCACACCCGUUCCAGAUUGGAGACACCGUGUGGGUGCACAGACACCAGACCAAGAAUCUCGAGCCACGGUGAAAAGGACCCUACACCGUCCUCCUGACUACCCCGACCGCCCUAAAGGUAGACGGAGUCUCGGCUUAGAUCCACACACCACACGUCAAGACAGUCCGGUCUGAGGAAUUGACUAAUCACAACACUACACCCCAGACAUAGAGAGUUCAGCACACUCCAAACCCCUUAAAGUUAAAACUCCUACGUGGCUCCUCCUAGCCCUUUUGUGGCCUAGAGUCAGUGGGGGAAUAAGCCCCCACCAGACAGAAAUUUCUUGACCAAGUCGAGUGAAAGAUUUCACUCAAAGUUAGCAAAAAAAUGGGGGAAUGAAAGACCCCAGCUUAACAGCAGUAACGCCAUUUUGCAAGGCUGUACUUAAGAUGACUGGUUCAGGGAAAGGUUAGAACACUGAGUACACAGCAGCUGCCAAGCAGGAUGUGUUUGGUUGAAGGCCUGGCAACAGGACGACUUCGGUUGAACACCUGACAAUGAAAAAAAGCCCCGGGAGAGGUCCCACACCCUGGUGGGGGGCCGAGUCAGUCGUUAUGUUCCAAGAAGGUAGCUAAGAAACUUGCCCCCGGGCUGAACCCUUGGGGGGGCCGAGUCAGCCGUUAUGUUUCAGGAAGGUAGCUAGGAAACUUGCCCCCGGGCUAAACCCUUGCCAUAUUAGAAUCCACCAAUUAUAUCCCUGUAACCAUGCAUCUGCUUCUGUAUGCUUGCUUCUGCUCCCCAAAAUCCUAUAAAAGCCCAUCCUUGGUUCCGUGGGGCGCGCCAGUCCCCCGAGUGACUGAAGCGCCCGCAGGUGCCUGUGCCUGUGUAUCCCGACAAUAAACCAAAUCCUCUUGCUGAUUGCA